ensembl:lncRNA
CGCAUAGGCACCUCUUCGCCCGAGGUCUGGUGACACUGACCCCCCCAGCAACAGUACGCACACACGCCCAGCUAAACCAGUCCCAUGACGACCACGUCUACUUGGCAUCCACACAGGUGUGAAGAAACCUCCUUUAGCUCCCAAACCAAAACUCCCUGCUACCACCAAACCCUCUCCCCCUCCCAUCGCCCCAAAGCCAGGCCUGCUCUCCCUGGCUCCCGCCGUCCACAGCCCCGCACCCUCCCCUGGUACUCUGCAGAGAGCCAAACCCGCCCUCGCCCCCAAACCAUGUGUGCUAGUACCCCAGGCCAAACCAGCGUCCUCCCACCCCCAGUCCCAGGAACACUCAGACGGGAGCCUCAACCUCCUCAACACCCGGAAUGGGACCCCAUCCUCGCCGCGGGACAGCCUCUCCGAGUCCGACUACAUCCUCCCGGCCUGCCGCCCGGGGGGGCUGGAGUCGGAGCCCGCACUCCCGCCUCUGCUCAACGGGAACCACGGGAACGUCGGGAAUAACGGGAGCGCUGCGUGCGACGAGGAGGGGCUGCACAACGGGAACGCCACUGAAGGACACGUCGGCCCGGUGACGACGGGGAAGGGGGGCGGUGAGGUGGGGGGCGGGGAGGAGGAGGAGGGGCGGCGGCCGCAGGAGGAGGAAGAGGAGAAGGGCGAGGCGGAGGAGGGCCGUCGAUUGACGGACAGCUUGCACCCCAAGCCCCGGGAUAAGCCCCAAAGGCAGAAGCAUCUGGCCAGGGGCCGGACCGGCAGAGAGGGUCAGGGGUCACCGGGGGCCCCCCCACAGCAGCUGCAGGGGACGGAGUCGGAGACGGAGCUGGAGGGACGUCUGGAGAGGGCGGAGGAGGACACGGCUCCCCACCAGGAGACCGGCCAUGAAGACACAGCACUGUGUGUCAGCACUGUCGCCGUGGCAACCGCCCAAACCCUCGCCGCUCCUCCUCCUCCUCCUCCUCCGUCUCCGCCCCCGGACCCGCCCCCGGCGCCGAGUCCGACGGAACCCCCCGAAGAAGCCCACGACGAGCCCGACGGCCGCCACGCACACACCAACGGCCGCGCCUCGCCCCCCCCCGGCCCGGCGGCCAC